rnacentral:rRNA from 1 species
UACGAAAGGUCCAAGCGUUACUCGGAAUUACUGGGCGUAAAGCGCGCGUAGGCGGUCUUGUAUGUCGAUUGUGAAAGCCCCGGGCUCAACCUGGGAACUGCAGUCGAAACUGCAAGACUUGAAUGUUGGAGAGGUUGGGGGAAUACCUAGUGGAGAAGUGAAAUUCGUAGAGAUUAGGUGGAACACCAGAGGCGAAGGCGCCUGACUGGCCAAACAUUGACGCUGAGGCGCGAAAGCGUGGGUAGCAAACAGGAUU